GAUGAACGCUAGCUACAGGCUUAACACAUGCAAGUCGAGGGGUAACGAGAGGAAAGCUUGCUUUCCUUGUCGACGACCGGCGCACGGGUGAGUAACGCGUAUCCAACCUGCCCCCAACUAGGGAAUAACCUUGCGAAAGUAAGACUAAUACCCUAUAAUUUCCUUAGAUGUCAUCUGACGAGGAAUAAAGAUUUAUCGGUUGUGGAUGGGGAUGCGCCUGAUUAGCUUGUUGGCGGGGUAACGGCCCACCAAGGCAACGAUCAGUAGGGGUUUUGAGAGGAACGUCCCCCACAUUGGAACUGAGACACGGUCCAAACUCCUACGGGAUGCAGCAGUGAGUAAUAUUGGUCAAUGGGCGGAAGCCUGAACCAGCCAAGUAGCGUGCAGGAUGACGGCCCUAUGGGUUGUAAACUGCUUUUAUACAGGAAUAAAGUUAGCCACGUGUGGUUAUUUGUAGGUACUGUAUGAAUAAGGACCGGCUAAUUCCGUGCCAGCCGCCGCAGUAA
rnacentral:rRNA from 1 species